ACCUACCUAGUAUAAAAGUACACUUGACUUCCAAUCAAAAAGUUUGAUAUAAUCAAGGUAGGUA
rnacentral:tRNA from 1 species